rnacentral:misc_RNA from 1 species
CCCAACUAUCCCUAUUAAUCAUUACGUCAAUCCUAGAAACCAACAAUAAGAUUAAACGUCCUAUUUUAUUAUUCCAUGCUAAUAUAUUCAAGCUUUAAAAACCUGCUUUAAACACUCUAAUUUUUUCAAAGUAACAGUCCUGAACUAAUUACAACAUCAAAUUAAUGACAUUAUAGUUUAUCAGAAGGGAGAAAUCAAUAAAAAUCAGUACGUAUCAUAGAUACGACCAAUUAAUUAAUUCCGAAAUUCAACUACGAGCUUUUUAACUGCAACAACUUUAAUAUACGCUAUUGGAGCUGGAAUUACCGCGGCUGCUGGCACCAGACUUGCCCUCCAA